rnacentral:rRNA from 1 species
GGGGAAUAUUGGGCAAUGGGCGCAAGCCUGACCCAGCCACGCCGCGUGAGCGAUGAAGGCCUUCGGGUUGUAAAGCUCUGUGGGGAGGGGCGAAAGGCAGAAGUGCUAAUAGUACUCUGUUUGACGGUACCUCCUUAGCAAGCACCGGCUAACUCUGUGCCAGCAGCCGCGGUAAGACAGAGGGUGCAAACGUUGCUCGGAAUUACUGGGCGUAAAGCGCGUGUAGGCGGGAAGAUAAGUCGGGUGUGAAAUCCCUGGGCUCAACCUAGGAACUGCAUCCGAAACUGCCUUUCUGGAGUGAUGGAGAGGAAAGCGGAAUUCCCGGUGUAGAGGUGAAAUUCGUAGAUAUCGGGAGGAACACCAGUGGCGAAGGCGGCUUUCUGGCCAUCAACUGACGCUGAGACGCGAAAGCGUGGGGAGCAAAC